UAUUCAUCACAGAAUACAGGUGGUCACCAGGAGGAGAGGAAGUGUCUGUUUUAAUGUGAUAUUCAUCACAGAAUACAGGUGGUCACCAGGAGGAGAGGAAGUGUCUGUUUUAAUGUGAUAUUCAUCACAGAAUACAGGUGUAGUCACCAGGAGGAGAGGAAGUGUCUGUUUUAAUGUGAUAUUCAUCACAGAAUACAGGUGGUCACCAGGAGGAGAGGAAGUGUCUGUUUUAAUGUGAUAUUCAUCACAGAAGACAGGUGUAGUCACCAGGAGGAGAGGAAGUGUCUGUUUUAAUGUGAUAUUCAUCACAGAAUACAGGUGGUCACCAGGAGGAGAGGAAGUGUCUGUUUUAAUGUGAUAUUCAUCACAGAAGACAGGUGUAGUCACCAGGAGGAGAGGAAGUGUCUGUUUUAAUGUGAUAUUCAUCACAGAAGACAGGUGGUCACCAGGAGGAGAGGAAGUGUCUGUUUUAAUGUGAUAUUCAUCACAGAAUACAGGUGGUCACCAGGAGGAGAGGAAGUGUCUGUUUUAAUGUGAUAUUCAUCACAGAAUACAGGUCACCAGGAGGAGAGGAAGUGUCUGUUUUAAUGUGAUAUUCAUCACAGAAUACAGGUGGUCACCAGGAGGAGAGGAAGUGUCUGUUUUAAUGUGAUAUUCAUCACAGAAUACAGGUGUAGUCACCAGGAGGAGAGGAAGUGUCUGUUUUAAUGUGAUAUUCAUCACAGAAGACAGGUGUAGUCACCAGGAGGAGAGGAAGUGUCUGUUUUAAUGUGAUAUUCAUCACAGAAUACAGGUGGUCACCAGGAGGAGAGGAAGUGUCUGUUUUAAUGUGAUAUUCAUCACAGAAGACAGGUGUAGUCACCAGGAGGAGAGGAAGUGUCUGUUUUAAUGUGAUAUUCAUCACAGAAUACAGGUGGUCACCAGGAGGAGAGGAAGUGUCUGUUUUAAUGUGAUAUUCAUCACAGAAGACAGGUGGUCACCAGGAGGAGAGGAAGUGUCUGUUUUAAUGUGAUAUUCAUCACAGAAUACAGGUGGUCACCAGGAGGAGAGGAAGUGUCUGUUUUAAUGUGAUAUUCAUCACAGAAUACAGGUGGUCACCAGGAGGAGAGGAAGUGUCUGUUUUAAUGUGAUAUUCAUCACAGAAUACAGGUGUAGUCACCAGGAGGAGAGGAAGUGUCUGUUUUAAUGUGAUAUUCAUCACAGAAUACAGGUGUAGUCACCAGGAGGAGAGGAAGUGUCUGUUUUAAUGUGAUAUUCAUCACAGAAGACAGGUGGUCACCAGGAGGAGAGGAAGAGUCUGUUUUAAUGUGAUAUUCAUCACAGAAUACAGGUGUAGUCACCAGGAGGAGAGGAAGUGUCUGUUUUAAUGUGAUAUUCAUCACAGAAUACAGGUGGUCACCAGGAGGAGAGGAAGAGUCUGUUUUAAUGUGAUAUUCAUCACAGAAUACAGGUGGUCACCAGGAGGAGAGGAAGUGUCUGUUUUAAUGUGAUAUUCAUCACAGAAGACAGGUGGUCACCAGGAGGAGAGGAAGCGUCUGUUUUAAUGUGAUAUUCAUCACAGAAUACAGGUGGUCACCAGGAGGAGAGGAAGUGUCUGUUUUAAUGUGAUAUUCAUCACAGAAUACAGGUGGUCACCAGGAGGAGAGGAAGUGUCUGUUUUAAUGUGAUAUUCAUCACAGAAUACAGGUGGUCACCAGGAGGAGAGGAAGUGUCUGUUUUAAUGUGAUAUUCAUCACAGAAUACAGGUGGUCACCAGGAGGAGAGGAAGUGUCUGUUUUAAUGUGAUAUUCAUCACAGAAUACAGGUGGUCACCAGGAGGAGAGGAAGUGUCUGUUUUAAUGUGAUAUUCAUCACAGAAUACAGGUGGUCACCAGGAGGAGAGGAAGUGUCUGUUUUAAUGUGAUAUUCAUCACAGAAUACAGGUGGUCACCAGGAGGAGAGGAAGUGUCUGUUUUAAUGUGAUAUUCAUCACAGAAUACAGGUGGUCACCAGGAGGAGAGGAAGUGUCUGUUUUAAUGUGAUAUUCAUCACAGAAUACAGGUGGUCACCAGGAGGAGAGGAAGUGUCUGUUUUAAUGUGAUAUUCAUCACAGAAUACAGGUGUAGUCACCAGGAGGAGAGGAAGUGUCUGUUUUAAUGUGAUAUUCAUCACAGAAUACAGGUAGUCACCAGGAGGAGAGGAAGUGUCUGUUUUAAUGUGAUAUUCAUCACAGAAUACAGGUGGUCACCAGGAGGAGAGGAAGUGUCUGUUUUAAUGUGAUAUUCAUCACAGAAUACAGGUGGUCACCAGGAGGAGAGGAAGUGUCUGUUUUAAUGUGAUAUUCAUCACAGAAUACAGGUGGUCACCAGGAGGAGAGGAAGUGUCUGUUUUAAUGUGAUAUUCAUCACAGAAUACAGGUGGUCACCAGGAGGAGAGGAAGUGUCUGUUUUAAUGUGAUAUUCAUCACAGAA